GGGGGUGUAGCUCACAUGGUAGAGCCCCUGCUUCGCAUGCGGGAGGCACGGGGUUCUAUUCCGCGCACCUCCA
rnacentral:tRNA from 1 species